AACCACGCAUUCUGUAGAAAGGAAAAAAUUAUGAGUACUUCUCUUUUAUGUUCUGUAGCUGGAAAACAGAACAAUGGUGAUAUUAUUCUUAUAGUUCCUGCUUCUGAGUCAUGGAAAACCUUGUCAUUUUCAAUCUUUCAUUUUUUUUGUGGCCAAAAUAAUUGCGUGGAACUAUUCUGCAACAGCAGCCAGAGAUCAAUUCUUGAUCUGAUUGCCAAGUAAUGAUCAUUUCACAGAAAAGUAAAACUCCUGAUAUCAGAAUGGACACUCUUAGUCCCGGCUAUUAAGCUUUUUAAAUAUUACUAUAAUUAG
rnacentral:misc_RNA from 1 species